UGUGUGUGUGUGUGUGUGUGUGUGUGUGUGUUUGUUUUUAUUACAUGGUGGGGACCUCAGCAUGAUAGCACACUCACAAAGUGGGGACCAAAAACAUAGUGGGGACCGAUCGCCCGGUCCCCACUAUGUUUUGCCUUUAAAAGACUCAGGGGGCGUUGCUGAUAUGCCUAGUGCAGUUUUUUCACUGAUCCCCACCUUGACCAUUUACCUGAAUUGAGUGUGUAAGUGUGUGUCGGCGCACUGCUCUAUAGCGGUCCUGUAGUCGGAUGGCGGUACUGCACCCUGACACACACGACGCAAUUCACACACUCUGUCUACUGCACAUGCGCAAUCUCAUAAAUGAAUCCGACUUUAAUCAACUUAAUUAAGAUCUAUCAUCAAAUUAUUCGAAUUUUUGGUCAGAGGCCGGGGUGGAGUGCAUGAGCCGCGGUCAGACAGUCACCAAUCACCGGGCGGCUAAAUGGAUCGACGGAGGAUAAAACCAUUAAAAGAUGCGGAGAAA